rfam:Triticum aestivum genome assembly, contig: Triticum_aestivum_CS42_TGACv1_scaffold_500402_6BL
AUGAUACUCCCUCCGUCAAGAAAUACUUGUCAAAGAAAUGGAUGUAUAUAGACAUGUUUUAAUUUUAGAUACAUCCAUUUUUAUUCAUUUCAGCAACAAGUAAUUCCGGACGGAGGGAGUAUAAA